UGAUCCUGCCGGACCUGACUGCUAUCGGAUUGAUACUAAGCCAUGCUAGUCUUUGUAGUAAUACAAGGCAUACGGCUCAGUAACGCGUAGUCAACCUACCCUAUGGACGGGGAUAAUCUCGGGAAACUGAGCAUAAUACCCGACAGACCACUUCUCCUGGAAUGGUUAGUGGUUAAAAUGAUUCGUCGCCAUAGGAUGGGACUGCGGCCUAUCAGCUUGUUGGUGAGGUAAUGGCCCACCAAGGCGAUUACAGGUACGGGCUCUGAGAGGAGAGGCCCGGAGAUGGGUACUGAGACAAGGACCCAGGCCCUAUGGGGCGCAGCAGGCGAGAAAACUUUGCAAUGUGCGAAAGCACGACAAGGUUAAUCCGAGUGAUUUCUGCUAAAGGAAUCUUUUGUUAGUUCUAAAAAUACUAGUGAAUAAGGGGUGGGCAAGUUCUGGUGUCAGCCGCCGCGGUAAAACCAGCACCUCAAGUGGUCAGGAGGAUUAUUGGGCCUAAAGCAUCCGUAGCCUGUUCUAUAAGUUUGCGGUUAAAUCUAUACGCUCAACGUAUAGGCUGCCGUAAAUACUGUAGAACUAGGGAGUGGGAGAGGUAGACGGUACUCGAUAGGAAGGGGUAAAAUCCUUUGAUCUAUUGAUGACCACCUGUGGCGAAGGCGGUCUACCAGAACACGUUCGACGGUGAGGGAUGAAAGCUGGGGGAGCAAACCGGAUUAGAUACCCGGGUAGUCCCAGCUGUAAACGAUGCAGACUCGAUGAUGCAAUGGCAUAGAGCUAUUGCAGUAUCGCAGGGAAGCCGUUAAGUCUGCCGCCUGGGAAGUACGUACGCAAGUAUGAAACUUAAAGGAAUUGGCGGGGGAGCACCACAAGGGGUGAAGCCUGCGGUUCAAUUGGAUUCAACGCCGGG
rnacentral:rRNA from 1 species